rnacentral:rRNA from 1 species
UACGUAGGGUGCAAGCGUUGUCCGGAAUUAUUGGGCGUAAAGAGCUCGUAGGCGGUUUGUCGCGUCUGCUGUGAAAACCCGAGGCUCAACCUCGGGCCUGCAGUGGGUACGGGCAGACUAGAGUGCGGUAGGGGAGAUUGGAAUUCCUGGUGUAGCGGUGAAAUGCGCAGAUAUCAGGAGGAACACCCGUGGCGAAAGCGGCUCUCUGGAACGGUACUGACGCUGAGACGCGAAAGCGUGGGGAGCGAACAGG